GGAGAUGAGGACAUUUGGGCCAGCUGCUGUUGCAUUCCAUCUGCACAACGGUCAAGUCCAACUUUCAGCACUGGGGACAAGAAAGGAGCCCAGUGGAAGGCAAUCGUGAAGUCAACUGUGCCAAACAUUGACGAGGAAAUGGUGGUUCCCGGUUGCGCAUCCUUCGCCAUCAGAUGACUGCUGCACUGCAGUGAUUCCACGCCCCCGC